rnacentral:rRNA from 1 species
GACGAACGUUGGCGGCGUGCUUAAUACACGCAAGUCAACUGAAGCAGUGGUAGCAAUAUCGCUGUGGAGGUGGCGCACGGGUGAGUAACACGUAGGUAAUCUGCCUUCAGGUCUGGCAUAACUCCGGGAAACCGGGGCUAAUAGCAGAUGAUGCAGCGGCUCGACAUCGAGACAGUUGUUAAAGCUAUGGCGCCUGAAGAUGAGCCUGCGUCUGAUUAGCUAGUUGGCGGGGUAACGGCCCACCAAGGCAACGAUCAGUAGCUGGUCUGAGAGGAUGAUCAGCCACACUGGAACUGAGACACGGUCCAGACUCCUACGGGAGGCAGCAGUAAGGAAUAUUGCUCAAUGGGAGAAAUCCUGAAGCAGCAACGCCGCGUGAGGGACGAAGGGCUUUUGCUUGUAAACCUCUGUAGUGAGAGAAAAAAAUCCCAACCUUUGGGACAUGAUGGUAUCUCAAAAGUAAGCCCCGGCUAACUACGUG